CCUACGGGGGGCUGCAGUGGGGAAUUUUGGACAAUGGGGGCAACCCUGAUCCAGCCAUGCCGCGUGCGGGAAGAAGGCCUUCGGGUUGUAAACCGCUUUUAGCCGGGAAGAAAAGGCGAGGGAUAACACCCUUCGUUCUUGACGGUACCGGCGGAAUAAGCACCGGCUAACUACGUGCCAGCAGCCGCGGUAAUACGUAGGGUGCGAGCGGUAAUCGGAAUUACUGGGGGUAAAGGGUAAGUCUGAGGUUAAAGCCCCGGGCUCAACCUGGGAAUGGCAUUGGAUACUGGCGGGCUUGAGUGUGGCAGAGGGGGGUGGAAUUCCGCGUGUAGCAGUGAAAUGCGUAGAGAUGCGGAGGAACACCGAUGGCGAAGGCAGCCCCCUGGGCUGACACUGACGCUCAGGCACGAAAGCGUGGGGAGCAAACAGGAUUAGAUACGCUAGUAGUC
rnacentral:rRNA from 1 species